CAUAGACAAACACCUUUGGUAUUCUAGAAAAAGAUAUAAAUUAAUAUAAAUGGUAUUCUAAAAAAAAAAAAUUAAAUGCUAUCAGUGUAAGCCAGGCACCCAUUCUAGAAUUAUACAGAAAUUAGCAAGUGAAUUAUAAACAUUAGGCCAAAUAAACUGUGAUGGGAUUUCAGCUUGGCCCAAAAUUCUGUAGGCCUAAAAUCUCCGUGUGACAUAUAUAAGUAUAGGUAUCUGUUGUAUCUGUUAGUUAGUUACAUGUAGCUAAGAUACUGUCAUCAAUGUACUGAGCAUGUGCAAGAACUGAAACCACAUUCCAUUCUCUUAAAAAGGCCAUGUUGCCUGUCCAUAUAAGGUGAUCCUGUAUAUUAUAGGCGUGCGCAGCCUAUUGCAUUAGGGUGUGCACCCUAAAGCACAAGCACA